GUAAAUGGAGGAGGGUGUGUCUUUUAGGAGUUUAAAACGUGUGUGGAAUGCAGCCUCCCUUUAAAAUGUGAUUUUAAACCAGUGAUGUGUAUAAACCCAGGAUGACUAACUGUAAUUAAGUCACCGCGCAGCCAUCUUGCUAACAAGCAGUGAGUGUACAAUUAUGUUCAAUCCGGGUCCUGAAAUGCCCCAUAAUUCAAUUUGCGAUGAUUGUACAUCCGCUAAGAAAAGUCAAGACAAAAUUCAAAACCAACAUUAAUAUGGAGAAGUCAACAUACAAGUUCUCCUCCAGCUAAAGUAGGAGAGGCAGUAAAGGCUUCCAUCUGCUGGCUACAGACUCAUUGACGGCGCUUUCCUCUACCAGAAUGAGGUGGGAAAGGGCAUCCAGGCUAUGAUCCAGGAGGGUACUGUAAAGAGAGAGGAGCUGUUCAUCGUCAGCAAGAUUAGGGAUGAGCUCGUGGAGAGGGAUUCACUGUUGCCGUGGAAACCAGAUUCCUGGAUACCUGGGAGCGCCUCUCGGGAAGGAAGAGCUUGUGGAUGCAGGGUUAGUAAAAGCCAUUGGAAUCUCCAAUUUCAACAGCCAUCGAACUGAAUCCAUUCUGAACACGCCAGGCCUCAAGAACAAAGCUGCCAACAACCAGGGUCAAACCAGACAACCCCUGUUUAUUUCAAGACUCAAACAUCAAGGACAUAACUGAUAAGCACCAGAGGACUAUAUCUCAGGUGCUGCUUCGUUUUCUGGUCCAAAGUGAAGUGUGUGUAAUUCCAAAAUCAACCACGCCCCAACACAUGUACCUGGGCAACCUCCAGGUGUUUGACUUUGAACUGAGCAAAGAGGACAUAAGGACCAUGUUAUCACUGAACAGGAACUACAGUUUUUCCUCUGCUCUCAUACGGGGCUGAAGCACAAAGACUACCCCUUCAGUGAUGAAUUUGAAGAGGCAGGUAUACCCGCUAUUGAAGUCUCCAGCUUCACUCCAUUACAGAUCACAUUCUACCUUAUCUUAAUAUGGAUGGAGGGCCCUCCCCUGUGCUGUCAAUCAUAUUUAAUUAUUUAUAUUCAUUAUCACAAGAACAAUAUCUAGUACAUAAAUUGUAUGCAUAGCAUGUUGCAGAAAACAUUUCUAUAGCC